rnacentral:lncRNA from 1 species
AAAAAUUAUAUAUGUUUUGAUAAUUGGCUUGGAAUAGUAAGAAUAAAGGCAUGCAUGCAUGCCUUCUGGUUCAUGAUUGGAAUGUAAAUGAAAAAUAGAAUUUGAAUUUGAAUUGUAUGGAAAUAAAAAAUAGAUCGACGAAUCAUCUGAAUGAAUAUUUAAGAUUUUGAAAGAAAAUUUUGGUUAAGAAAGAAAGGGCUGAUGAAAGAAGAGGAGGUGAUGCUCGUGAGAGAAGGUUUUGAUUGAUUUACUUUGGAAUCGCCUAAUCUAAGAUUCAAAGCUAUAUUGGGCUAUGGAUGGAUUGGGACAUUUUCAUUCCAAAGUGAAAUAUAAAUUGAAAUAUAGUUUUUGUAAAAUAUACAACAACGAUUAAAAUUAAUAAAUCUCACUUCGAUUGCAUAGUCUAAAACAAGCGAACCAAACAAGCUCUAAGAGUAAUUAUGAUUGAAUACAAAAAUAAUUUAUCUAAAUUACUAGCAUCUAAGUAUUUAUAAAAUAAUAUUUUAACAAGCUAAUGAAUUAAUUAAUUAGGAGCACUAUAUGAGAUGAUGAAGAAUGAUGUUAAUUAAUAAUUAAAGUCAAUAUGUUAAUAUUAAUUAAUUAUUUCAUCAAUUAUAUUUUUAGUUAAUUAUUUAAAUAAUAUAUAUUAGUUAAUGAUUGAAUAAACAUAUCAAAUAGUUAAUUUUUAAUUAGCUAAUUAAUUAUAAAUAAUAAAUUAAUUACUACUUAAAUAUUUAUUAAUUUAAUAAGUCAAAUGAUUAGUAAGUUAAUUAUUUAAAAGUUAAUUUUAUUAAUUAAUAAUAGUUUGUAAUUAUUUAUAAUUUAAUUAGUAGAAGAAUAGGAUAGAGAAUAGCUUAUUCCACCCAAUGGUUGGAACUACUAUUCUGACUACUUAACUGAGUUAUUA